rnacentral:misc_RNA from 1 species
GUUCGAGCGUCAUUACAACCCUCAAGCUCAGCUUGGUAUUGGGCUUCGCCGUUAACCCGGCGGGCCUCAAAAUCAGUGGCGGUGCGUCGAGGCUCUGAGCGUAGUAAAUUUCCUCGCUUUAGGACCCGGCGGUUGCUUGCCAAUAACCCCCAACUUCUAAGUUUGACCUCGGAUCAGGUAGGGAUACCCGCUGAACUUAA